AGUGGCCCCCUGUCUAAUCUUUCAUCAAAGGAGCUUUCUCAUCAGAGACCCUAGAGCUGUUUUUUCUGCUUAUCUGUCAAACUGGCUUCCAAGGCAAGCAUUCCUGGCUUAAGGUUUGAACCCCAAGAGCAAGACUUAACAGUUUUUCUGCAGAAAGAGCUGUGUCCCUUCCUUUAACUUGCAAUUGCUAAUCAUGAAGAACAUGCUCUGUGUCCAGAUUCUAAUAAGCUGUAGAAAAGAUAGGAGGACAGUAGAAAGCAGAAAAGCAGGAUUUAUUGGGUCUAUUUCAGGGCUGGGUCAGUGUUGGAGGGGCAAGUAGCUUUGUUAAUUGAUCUCAAAGAGGAAGUCGCUGUCUGCUGUCGAGAAUGAGGCUAUAAAGGUUAUUUUCUCACUCAAAAAUAUGCACUGGGUCCAAAAGACUUCUAUUUAAAAUAUAAAGCUAGAAUGACUUCAUAUUCUGUUAUGGAAUAUGAAACAUUAAGUUGAAAGGGACUUAAAGUAUAUACACAUAAUACAUAUAUAUAUAUGUGUGUGUGUAUCCGUAUGCACACACAAGUACAUACACAUACUUCUGCCCCAGUGUCAAGCUCGGUGCUGUACAUGUGUGUUUCAUCAAAGGAGCACAGAUUGGAGCUGGGGCUGUUAUUUCCAGUGACUUGCCGCCUCCGGGGCAGCAAAUGGAAAAGAGCAGGGUAGCCUGCUCUCUCAGUGGUGUUCACUGCAUCUGAAAGGUCAUGUCAUGUUUCCCAGCAAUUGACUCAAUGGGUUUGGAUUCUGCAACAUAAGGUCAGGCCGUUUCCACUCUGCUUGUGUUUCCUGGGGAACGUGCCUUCCAGUUGUUUUCACAUUGACCUCAUUACCCAGCCCUGAUGAUGAACUUGGCUUGGACAUGUUGUGGCUACAGCUGGCUCAGGACUGCCCUGUCUUUGCAGACCCCAUGCCUCUGCCCUGACCAGUGUGGGUGGGGAUGCUUCUGCCUUGGCUCAGAAAGGCCUGGCCCCUUCCCUCCCCCUGCAAAGGUCCUCUGCAUACAACUGAACAAAGAUUACAGGAGGACCAGGAUGUGACGGAGGGGCUGGGGACCCUUUCUCCCAUUUCUGCAAGGGCAGGGAAUGAAGAGGACAGACAAGAGACACCCAGGCUGCUCGUCUCAGAUCUUCAGUGCAUGAGCAGAGGGACCUGGCCAACAACAAUAUAACAUUUCCCAAAUUCCCCAGCUCCUUUUUAGAGUGAAUAUUUUCUAAUGAGAAAUGAGAAAAUGAUUUUCAAUGAGAAAUGAGCAAUGAGAAAAUUUGAGCAAUGAGAAAAUGAUUUUCUUGAAUCCACUGUCUCUGUAUACCUCCUGCCUACAAAAAUUUCUCCUGAGUCUCUUUCAAGGGAAUUAGAAUACUUUAUAAAACAUGAUUGUUUCAGCUCUGGGAAGUGGACUCCACCAAAGUAAAAAUACUCAGUGAACUCAAGGGUUUAUUUCCCCAAAUGACUGAGGAACUUGAGCAUGAAUCAGUGAUGCAAUGCUUCUAUCAGCUGAGUCCUAGACAGCCAAUUAGCAUGGGCUGGGCUGGGCUGGGCCGAGCUGUGAGCCCAUGAGCAUCUAGGCCUGCCAUCCCUUGUGUUGUGAUGGUGGGUGGGUUAUUUAAAGUCUUACAGCCUGUCAAAUGGAGGAUUAGUAUGAGGAUAAAUGAGAUCACACCUAGGGUGUACUUAAUAAAGGCUCAUUUAAGCCAUUUAAGUCUGUGUUUCUGGUUUUCACUAUGGAGUGGUCGUAUUCAUCCAGGUCUGGCCAACUACUUGGUGAAGCCAGAAGAAAGAAAACUAAAGUCUGAUAUGGAGGAAAAGAAAAUUCUGGACCAUGAAGGUCAAUCAGGCAGUAGAAUAAUUCCAGGAAGCUGUCAAGACUCUAGAACUAGAGAUAUUCAAGGAAAAAUUGGAUAUUGUACUUAGGGAAAUAAUAUUGGAAGACUUUGUAUCCUUAGGUAUGAGUCUGAAAGAGAUGACCCAGCAGCUGAUCUAUAAAUAAAAUGCUUUUUUGAUGUCUAAGAUUUGGGUGCUGUGGGAAUGGCGGGAUGUGUCGGGCACUUUGAAAAGUGAUGAUACAAAAGUGUUGCAGUACAGUGAAAGCCUAUGUUUCUCUUCAUUAGAAAAACUAUAUUAGAAAUGUGCAGCCCAUUCUAAAAUGCAAAUAUGACAAGGCUGCUCCCUCUCUUACAGUAGACUAGCCUACUCUGUAUAAACAUGUAUAACGAAUGGUUCAACUCAAGAGAAGUUUAUUUUUGUGCUCCUUGGUCUGAGGCAGCUGUUCCUGGUUGAUGGGAAGCUUUCUUCCAUACGGUGACUCAGGAAUCCAAACUCCUUCUGACUUAUGGUUCUACCAUCUCCUACCCCCUUGUCAUCCUCUACAUGAACUGGUAAAAGGGGAAAGGAUUUGUAGGAGGGGCAGUCACCUCUUAAAAGCCUUGGCCAGAACAGGUGCCAUCUUCCUUUUCAUAUUCCUUUGGCUAGGACUCAGCCACAUGGCCACACCUACCAUUAAAAGCUGCUGGGAAAUGGAGUCAGCUGGACAUCCAGGAGGAAAAAGAGGAGAUGGCUCCAGCUGGGCACCCUGUGGUUUUGUGACAUUUUGUUUCCUAAAGUCCUUCAACCAAUCCCACACAGCUCUGAUAUUGGAGCAUUUACAUCAGGCAAAGUCACCCUCCGUUAUCUUUGAGAAACAGAUAAAAGCUAUGGCUCUCUCUCCAUGCUUAUACCCAUUGCCAAUUCUGCUUGCCGGUUUACAGAGGCUUCUCAGAUGCCAUCAGUGGAAUUACUAACCUAGAGCAACAGAGAAGUUGCUCUCCAAUAACGUCCUAUCUAUGAAGUAAUGUUUUCACAAAGAACUGGUGCACCUUCAGAAGACCGGCAGUGGAUAAGGGAGCAUGUAAGCGGCUAAUUUUGAUGCCAGCAUCCCUAGGAUUGGUUGUUGGGGAAAUGCAUAGAGUUUUAGGUGCAAUGUUUUAAAGGGAAGACUUACAUUAUGAGGCUAGCCCAGAAGAGGGUGACUAGAGUACCUAGGAGUUCCUACUUGGAAGGGCUGAAGUCAACUGUCAUGUUGUGAGCUGCUCAAUGGAAAGACUCAUGUGGAAGGAAGUGAGGGAGGCCUCUGGCCAAUAGUCCAGGAGGAACUGAAGCCCUCAGUCCAACAACCUGUGUGGAUCUGAAUCCUCUAAACAAUUGCAUGUGUGAGCUUGGAAACAGAUCCAUACUCAGUCAAACUUUGGGACCCCACGCCUGCUGACGCUUGAUUGUGGUUCCAGCUAAGCCACUGCUGAAAUCUCAACUCAGGGAAACUAUAAUAUAGUAAAUGUUUGUUGUUUCAAGUUGGCAGAUUUUGGAAUAAUUUUUUAUAUAGUGAUAAUUUUUUAUAUACCUUAAAACAACUCAUUAGCCUAUCCUUUGCUACACUUUUCUCUUGGAAAUCUGCUUGCCCACAUAUUACAGAAGUAUCUUUCAGAUCAUAGGCUGAAAGGUGGAUUAUGGAUACAAUGUUUAAAUUUAGCAGUGUCAUUUAUGGCCGUUUAUAUGAGCUUUGCUGCAUAAAAUGUUGAUAUUAAUUUGUUUCCCUUUAAAACAUUCUUAAUGUUUACCUCAGUAUUUUCUUUGUAAUCAAUUAAUAUAAAAUGAAUAUAGUGUAUAGGUUUUACCUUUUUAAAUUUGUUUUAAACAAAACACGUAACAUCUAACCAUUGUUAUUUAAAGAUCAACUAGAAGGAGGUGAUGGAAACUCAGUUUAGGAUCACCUUCUUUACACGUUCUAUUUCUGUGAGUAUAUAUUAAACUAGUGGGGGAUCAAGCUACAAAAAUGCUACUUGGGGAGAAUGUCUUUUUUUUUUUUAAAUAUGAAUACUCAACCCUGAAGUUAUGUUUUUGUGGAAAGUUAUCACUUUGGAAUUUGAAUUUUCUUGGAGCUAAGCCACCGGUGGUUGUAAAAGCGACACCUGUAAAUUUACUCCCUAGAAGAUACUUUUGUUUAGUGACUGCUUGUUUCUCUGUGGAUAAAUUCAAUUAUAAAUUACAA